AUGGAGCCAAACAGGACAACGAUGCGUUUCGUCGUACUCCUGGUAGUCGGCACGCUGAUCGUCUCAGGCGCCGCCGAGUAUGUCCGGCCUCCGCCGGGCCGUGCCAUCUUGACGGAGCACGAUAAACCCGCCUCCCACCCUCAACAGGUCCACCUAUCGGUUGUCGGGGCGAACCAUAUGAGAGUUUCAUGGAUCACGGACGCCAAGCACGGGCACUCGGUGGUGGAGUACGGCAGGGCCUCCGGGAACUACACCACGUCGGCUACCGGCGAGCACACCUCGUACCGCUACUACCUCUACUCCUCCGGCAAGAUCCACCACGUCACGAUCGGACCUCUGGAUCCUGACACCGUGUACUACUACCGGUGCGGCACGGUCGGCGACGAGUUCACCCUCAAGACACCGCCCGCCGCUCUCCCCAUCGAGCUCGCGCUCGCAGGGGACCUUGGGCAGACCGAAUGGACGGCGUCGACGCUGGCCCACGUCAGCAAGAACGACUACGACAUGCUGCUGGUGCCAGGCGACCUCGCCUACGCCGACACCCAGCAGCCGCUGUGGGACACGUUCGGGCGGUUCGUGCAGGAGCACGCGAGCCGGCGGCCGUGGAUGGUCACCGAGGGGAACCACGAGGUGGAGGCCGGGAUGGCGCUCCCGGGCUCGCCCGGCCCGUUCGUCGCCUACACCGCGCGGUGGCGCAUGCCACACGAGGAGAGCGGGUCGACGUCCGCGCUCUACUACUCCUUCGACGCGGCCGGGGGCGCCGUCCACGUCGUCAUGCUCGGCUCGUACGCCGCCUUCAACUCGACCUCGGAGCAGUACGGGUGGCUGGCGCGCGACCUCGCCCGGGUCGACCGGCGCGCCACCCCGUGGCUCGUCGUGCUGCUGCACGCCCCGUGGUACAACACCAACGCGGCGCACGCCGGCGAGGGGGAGGCCAUGAGGAAGGCCAUGGAGCGCCUGCUCUACGAGGCCCGCGUCGACGUCGUCUUCUCCGGCCACGUCCACGCCUACGAACGCUUCACAAGGGUCUAUGACAACGAGGCGAACCCGUGUGGGCCGGUGCACAUCACAAUCGGCGACGGCGGGAACAGAGAAGGGCUUGCAUUCGAUUUUCAGAAGAAUCAUAAGCUGGCUCGGCUCUCGUUGAUGAGGGAGGCGAGCUUCGGGCAUGGCCGGUUGAGCGUGGUGAACGCGACCGCGGCGCGCUGGGCAUGGCACCGCAACGACGACGCCGACUCCACCGUCCGCGACGAGCUCUGGCUGGAGAGCCUGGCCGCCAACGGCUCGUGCCGACGGACCCAACCCUUCGCUGAUUAUUGGAGCGAUGAGUUGUAG
rnacentral:rRNA from 1 species